rnacentral:rRNA from 1 species
CAGGCUGAAGACCUUGCCUGAUCCGCUGAGAGGUGGUGCAUGGCCGUCGUCAGUUCGUACUGUGAAGCAUCCUGUUAAGUCAGGCAACGAGCGAGACCCACGCCCACAGUUGCCAGCGAGCCCUUCGGGGUGGCGGGUACUCUGUGGGGACCGCCGCUGCUAAAGCGGAGGAAGGAAUGGGCAACGGUAGGUCAGUAUGCCCCGAAUCUCCCGGGCUACACGCGGGCUACAAUGGUCGGUACAAUGGGUAUCUACCCCGAGAGGGGAUGGAAAUCUCCUAAAACCGGUCGUAGUUCGGAUUGAGGGCUGCAACUCGCCCUCAUGAAGCUGGAAUCCGUAGUAAUCGCGUUUCAACAGAACGCGGUGAAUACGUCCCUGCUCCUUGCACACACCGCCCGUCAAACCACCCGAGUAGGGUCUGGAUAAGGGUGCGCCAUGUUGACGCAUUCGAAUCUGGGCUUUGCAAGGGGGGUUAAGUCGUAACAAGGUAACCAAGGGCGAAU